rnacentral:rRNA from 1 species
AAUGAUUUACAUUCCUACAACAUUAAUACAUCAUAUCUUGUUAGAAAUCCAUAGUUAAGUGCGCUUGGGAUAGAGUAGUACUGGGAUGGGUGACCUCCCAGGAAGUCCUUAUGUUAUAU